rnacentral:rRNA from 1 species
AGAGUUUGAUCAUGGCUCAGAUUGAACGCUGGCGGCAGGCCUAACACAUGCAAGUCGAACGGUAACAGGAAACAGCUUGCUGUUUCGCUGACGAGUGGCGGACGGGUGAGUAAUGUCUGGGAAACUGCCUGAUGGAGGGGGAUAACUACUGGAAACGGUAGCUAAUACCGCAUAACGUCGCAAGACCAAAGAGGGGGACCUUCGGGCCUCUUGCCAUCAGAUGUGCCCAGAUGGGAUUAGCUAGUAGGUGGGGUAACGGCUCACCUAGGCGACGAUCCCUAGCUGGUCUGAGAGGAUGACCAGCCACACUGGAACUGAGACACGGUCCAGACUCCUACGGGAGGCAGCAGUGGGGAAUAUUGCACAAUGGGCGCAAGCCUGAUGCAGCCAUGCCGCGUGUAUGAAGAAGGCCUUCGGGUUGUAAAGUACUUUCAGCGGGGAGGAAGGGAGUAAAGUUAAUACCUUUGCUCAUUGACGUUACCCGCAGAAGAAGCACCGGCUAACUCCGUGCCAGCAGCCGCGGUAAUACGGAGGGUGCAGGCGUUAAUCGGAAUUACUGGGCGUAAAGCGCACGCAGGCGGUUUGUUAAGUCAGAUGUGAAAUCCCCGGGCUCAACCUGGGAACUGCAUCUGAUACUGGCAAGCUUGAGUCUCGUAGAGGGGGGUAGAAUUCCAGGUGUAGCGGUGAAAUGCGUAGAGAUCUGGAGGAAUACCGGUGGCGAAGGCGGCCCCCUGGACGAAGACUGACGCUCAGGUGCGAAAGCGUGGGGAGCAAACAGGAUUAGAUACCCUGGUAGUCCACGCCGUAAACGAUGUCGACUUGGAGGUUGUGCCCUUGAGGCGUGGCUUCCGGAGCUAACGCGUUAAGUCGACCGCCUGGGGAGUACGGCCGCAAGGUUAAAACUCAAAUGAAUUGACGGGGGCCCGCACAAGCGGUGGAGCAUGUGGUUUAAUUCGAUGCAACGCGAAGAACCUUACCUGGUCUUGACAUCCACGGAAGUUUUCAGAGAUGAGAAUGUGCCUUCGGGAACCGUGAGACAGGUGCUGCAUGGCUGUCGUCAGCUCGUGUUGUGAAAUGUUGGGUUAAGUCCCGCAACGAGCGCAACCCUUAUCCUUUGUUGCCAGCGGUCCGGCCGGGAACUCAAAGGAGACUGCCAGUGAUAAACUGGAGGAAGGUGGGGAUGACGUCAAGUCAUCAUGGCCCUUACGACCAGGGCUACACACGUGCUACAAUGGCGCAUACAAAGAGAAGCGACCUCGCGAGAGCAAGCGGACCUCAUAAAGUGCGUCGUAGUCCGGAUUGGAGUCUGCAACUCGACUCCAUGAAGUCGGAAUCGCUAGUAAUCGUGGAUCAGAAUGCCACGGUGAAUACGUUCCCGGGCCUUGUACACACCGCCCUUCACACCAUGGGAGUGGGUUGCAAAAGAAGUAGGUAGCUUAACCUUCGGGAGGGCGCUUACCACUUUGUGAUUCAUGACUGGGGUGAAGUCGUAACAAGGUAACCGUAGGGGAACCUGCGGUUG